UACGGAAGGCAGCAGUGGGGAAUAUUGCACAAUGGGCGCAAGCCUGAUGCAGCCAUGCCGCGUGUAUGAAGAAGGCCUUCGGGUUGUAAAGUACUUUCAGUCGUGAGGAAGGUGUUAAGGUUAAUAACCUUAGCAAUUGACGUUAGCGACAGAAGAAGCACCGGCUAACUCCGUGCCAGCAGCCGCGGUAAUACGGAGGGUGCGAGCGUUAAUCGGAAUUACUGGGCGUAAAGGGCACGCAGGCGGUUAAUUAAGUUGGAUGUGAAAUCCCCGGGCUUAACCUGGGAAUGGCAUUCAAGCUGGUUAGCUAGAGUCUUGUAGAGGGGGUAGAAUUCCAUGUGUAGCGGUGAAAUGCGUAGAGAUGUGGAGGAAUACCGGUGGCGAAGGCGGCCCCUGGACAAGACUGACGCUCAUGUGCGAAAGCGUGGGGAGCAAACGAGGGAUUAGAUACC
rnacentral:rRNA from 1 species